AUGGUUGGUAUUUCAAUCACGGAAGGCGGACUCAGAAGAAGCUAUAUUAUAUUGCAACGAAGAGUGAAAGGGCCAGGAGGAACCACAAACGAUGGCCGGCAACAUGGAGGUCGGGCUUUCAAGGUGUCGUUAACACAAUGUGAUUGCACUUGCGGGAGGCCAUUGUUGCUUCAUCUCCCAUGCUCACACUUGUAUACCGCCGGCCGCGUUAGGAAUGUGGACAUCAAUCACCCACACACCGUGAGGGAGUCGGAGUUCUCAAUCAUGACGGUCAAGAAAACAUGGGCUCCCCGCUUCCACCCGUACUUUGACCAAUCACAAUGGCCGGAGUAUCAUGGAGUUCAACUAUGGCCGGAUCCG
rnacentral:rRNA from 1 species